rnacentral:rRNA from 1 species
UACAGAGGGGGCAAGCGUUGUUCGGAAUUACUGGGCGUAAAGGGCGCGUAGGCGGCCUUCUAAGUCGAACGUGAAAUCCCCGGGCUCAACCCGGGAACUGCGUCCGAUACUGGAAGGCUUGAAUCCGGGAGAGGGAUGUGGAAUUCCAGGUGUAGCGGUGAAAUGCGUAGAUAUCAGGAGGAACACCGGUGGCGAAGGCGGGUCUCUGGGCAGUAACUGACGCUGAGGAGCGAAAGCGUGGGGAGCGAACGGG